AAUGUUCAUGAAAAAUUCUCUUUGCAUUAUAGGUAUAUUCUACAAAGAGCAGCAGAAUUGGUAAUUCCGAGCAGGUGGCUCCCAAGUUCAGCCCUGCUCAGUGACAGCUCUGUAAAAAGAAAAAAAAAAGGUUUGGGGCUGACAUCCACUGCUCACCUGCAGGUGCAUAAAGUCUAAAUGAAGAAGAAUAAACAAGCAGGGGUGAGAAAGCCUGGGAACUAUGAAUGCAAACUCCUGCUGAAGGCACAGAGGGAAUUUAGCAAAAAGAAGCAAAGGCUUAUGCCAUAUUUAUGUUCCCUACAAUCAAAUCCCACUCCCUGAAAAUGCACUGUUGAGCUUCAUAGCUAGCUACUCCUCAGGGGGACACCCUCCUUCCUUAAGAAGGUGACCUCUUGCUUACUCUCCACCAGUGUUGGUGACAUUUUUCCUACUGAUAUUAGCAACGGCUUAGAUAAUUCUAGAAACUCCUCUGCCUCUCAUUUUUUAUGACCUUCCUGUUUCCAUGGUCUUGUUGUAGAGAGCAGACUGUCCUGUUCUGCUACUCCAUGAUGUGUAAGGGGCACUUUUAAGGCUGUGCCUAAAUCUGAGUUUCUCCAUUUUUUAAAGCAGUGGUUUACCGGAGAGACUCCAUUUUGAGUACUAGAGCCAAGGAAGAAUGAUUUUACAAGUAAAUGAGCCCCACCUGACCAGCACAACUAUAGGGCACAAGCUGAUAAGUAACUCAGAUGUGCCAACCUGUCAAACUGAAUUUGGAGUACCUGGACAUGUUGAUAUCCCACAACAUAUCAGGAACACUAUGCACACGAGUUUAUCAGCCUCACUGGAUGUAAGCCUCUUACCUAAGACCUGUAGAAGGAGUUGAUAGGACAAUAUCCUCAUUCAGUCUCCUGGUCAUGUGCUAAGAGCCUUGCCCAGGAAAAGUGUCCCAGUGAUGAACCUCUGAGUUCCUGUCCCAUGGGACUUCAGCAGAGCAUGGUUUCUUCUACCUGUGACAACAAUAAGUGGUUCAGUCUACCCUGACCCUUCAAGUUGACACUCCAAGCUAACACUGAGACUGGAACUGUUGUCCAUCCAGACCCUCUGCCUUGACAACCCUGUAGAACUUGUUUGUUAACCACCUCCAGUUGCCUAUUUGACCACCUACAGUGACUCUUUGACUCUGAAUUCAUAUCUCUCAUUGCCUGUGUUCUGGACACAGUAUCCUGUAAACUGGAGGCCACCUAAACCACUUCUAGGUCUUUCUAUGGUGCAUAUGAUAUUUAUUUAUUUAUUUAUUUAUUUUUUUAUAUUUAUUUUUCCUCCUGUGAAGUACUACAUGUAACUUGAGUGUCUUAAAUAUUAAAAAUUAAGAUUAGAAUGGAAUAGGAAAAAUUGUGGUUGUUUAGCUUAAGACUAUCAGGUAACCUAUGAAUGUUUGGGGAGCUGCCAUCAGUAAAAGUGGCAUAGCUUAUGAAUUUAUUGUUAUUCAAUGAAUUCUGACAUUGUG
rnacentral:lncRNA from 1 species